rnacentral:rRNA from 1 species
UGGGGAAUUUUGGACAAUGGGGGAAACCCUGAUCCAGCCAUCCCGCGUGUGCGAUGAAGGCCUUCGGGUUGUAAAGCACUUUUGGCAGGAAAGAAACGUCAUGGGUUAAUACCCCGUGAAACUGACGGUACCUGCAGAAUAAGCACCGGCUAACUACGUGCCAGCAGCCGCGGUAAUACGUAGGGUGCAAGCGUUAAUCGGAAUUACUGGGCGUAAAGCGUGCGCAGGCGGUUCGGACAGAAAGAUGUGAAAUCCCAGAGCUCAACUUUGGAACUGCAUUUUUAACUACCGUGCUAGAGUGUGUCAGAGGAAGGUGGAAUUCCGCGUGUAGCAGUGAAAUGCGUAGAUAUGCGGAGGAACACCGAUGGCGAAGGCAGCCUCCUGGGAUAACACUGACGCUCAUGCACGAAAGCGUGGGGAGCAAACAGG